GUUUGCUAUAAUAUAAUUUAGUGGCAGACGGGUGAGUAAUGUAUAGGAAUCUACCUAGUAGUAUGGAAUAAUUGUUGGAAACAGCAACUAAUACCAUAUACGCCCUACGGGGGAAAGAUUUAUUGCUAUUAGAUGAGCCUAUAUUAGAUUAACUAGUUGGUAGGGUAAUGGCUUACCAAGGUUAUGAUCUAUAGCUGAUCUGAGAGGAUGAUCAGCCACACUGGAACUGAGAUACGGUCCAG
rnacentral:rRNA from 1 species